AGUACGAGAGGACCGGGGUGGACGGACCACUGGUGUACCAGCUGUCAACCAAUGGCAUUGCUGGGUAGCCAAGUCUGGACGGGAUAAACGCUGAAGGCAUCUAAGCGUGAAGCCCCCCUCAAGAUGAGAUAUCCCUUCCUUUAAGGAAAUAAGAUCCCUUAUAGACUAUGAGGUUGAUAGGGCAGAGGUGGAAGUGCAGUAAUGUACGUAGCUGACUGUUACUAAUAGAUCGAAGGCUUAACCAA
rnacentral:rRNA from 1 species